UUUGGAAUGAAAGUAGGAGAGAUUGUAUUUCUGUAUAUUUAAUUGCUUUGGUGUAAUCAUUUAAAGCGUUAUCU